GAUUCCCCUAGUAACUGCGAGUGAAGCGGGAAAAGCUCAAAUUUGAAAUCUGGCAGUCUUUUUUUUCUUCUUUGGCUGUCCGAGUUGUAAUCUAGAGAAGUGCUUACCUGCGCUGGACCAUGUAUAAGUCUCCUGGAAUGGAGCGUCAUAGAGGGUGAGAAUCCCGUCUUUGACAUGGACUGCCAGUGUGUUGUGGUGUGCUCUCAAAGAGUCGAGUUGUUUGGGAAUGCAGCUCUAAAUGGGUGGUAAACUCCAUCUAAAGCUAAAUAUUGGCGAGAGACCGAUAGUGAACAAGUACCGUGAGGGAAAGAUGAAAAGGACUUUGGAAAGAGAGUUAAACAGUAUGUGAAAUUGUUGAAAGGGAAACGCUUGAAGUCAGUUAUGUUGGCUAAGGAUCAACCCUAGCUAUUUAUUGCUGGGUGAAUUUCCUAGUCUGACAGGCCAAUAUCAGUCUUGACUGCUGGAAAAGAGCAGAGGGAAUGUGGCACCUCUGGGUGUGUUAUAGCCCCUUUGUCAUAUGUGGCAGUUGGAACUGAGGGAUGCAGCGUGCCGUGAGGCUGGGUUUUGACCACGUUCAUGCUUAGGAUGUUGGCUUUUAAUGGCUUCAAUCGACCCGUCUUGAAACACGGACCAAGGAGUCUAACAUGCCUGCGAGUGUUUGGGUGGGGAAAACCCUUGCGCACAAUGAAAGUGAAAGUUGAGAUCCCUGUCAUGGGGAGCAUCGACGCCCGGACUUGAGCUUUUAGCGAUGGAUCUGCGGUAGAGCAUGCAUGUUGGGACCCGAAAGAUGGUGAACUAUGCCUGAAUAGGGCAAAGCCAGAGGAAACUCUGGUGGAGGCUCGUAGCGAUUCUGACGUGCAAAUCGAUCGUCAAAUUUGGGUAUAGGGGCGAAAGACUAAUCGAACCAUCUAGUAGCUGGUUCCUGCCGAAGUUUCCCUCAGGAUAGCAGAAGCUCAUUAUCAGAUUUAUGUGGUAAAGCGAAUGAUUAGAGGCCUUGGGGUUGAAACAACCUUAACCUAUUCUCAAACUUUAAAUAUGUAAGAACGAGUUGUCACUUGACUGGACUGCUCG
rnacentral:rRNA from 1 species